CCUUUCAUCUCUUUCUCUUCCUCUCCCCCUUCUCCACCGCCCCUCUCCCUUCUCUUCCUCAAUUUUUUGUGUCAAUCAGAUCACUGAAUAUGCAACUGAAGAAGGGACGAGUUGCUUCUUCAGCAAUGUGAACAUAACGACCGAUGCAAUGUGACUUAUCUCGGAAAAGGCUUCAUCGUUCUGGCUUGGUCUGUCAGUAUUCUCUUUGAUUGUAAGAGGAAGUUUACAAUACAGCAAAGGUCAACACAUAAACCUCUGUUAUCAUGAAGAAGGAAAACAAGAUCGAGGCCGAGGAUGAACUCGUGAUUUUUGUAGCAGAACUGGUCAUUGCCCUAACACCCUCUUUAUGAUUUAUUUUCCAAUGGACCACUUUUGACUCUUUUCGCCGUUGAUUCUCUCUAGGUACUUCCGAAUUGGCACAAUUUUAUACUCACUAAUAUUUUCUCUUCGUCAGUGUAGUAGAACUUCUCCGACAACUCACUUGCAAGAAUUGUCAAUAUUCAUCUUAGUAUCCAUUUGACUCUCUGAUGCCUUAUCUGGCUAGUUAUAUUGUUCUCUUAAUUUCUCUAUCUCUAUAUCUUUAAGAAGAAGGAAGUAUUGUUGUUUGAAUUAUUUCGAUUAGAAUGAGAAAAAAAGAAAGGAUUUGUGAUAUUUGAUACCAGAAUUGUAAAUAUUUUGUUCUUUGCAAUUAUUUGUAAGCUAAAUGCCAAUUUCAAGGCUAGCUUUUGGGAUUGAAGGGGUUAGUAUUAUAAAUUUCACCAUUUAUGAUGUGAGCACAUAUCUAUCACAUGUCUAUCUAGUUUAUAAUUUCUAUCUCUAUAUCUGUUAGAAGAAGAUUGUUGUUGUUUAGAUUGAUGGAAACGUAGUUUUGAAUUUCUUUUUAUAUUGCUAUAUUGAUGGAGACAUAGUUUUGAAUUUCUUUUGAUUAUUGUUUUGAUUAGAUACUUGUAAAGUUUUGGUCUUUGUAGUUGGUGAUUGGUCAUGUUUGGUUGACAAAAUGGACUUAUUCUUUUAUCAGAAGUGGGAGAGAUAAUUGAGGAACUCUAGAAAUUGAGUUUGUGAUUCAAUUUUAUUCUACAAUUCAACAAUAUCGUUUCGUUCUUUGAUUGCCUUCAACUGUAACAUUUCGUCUAUAUUUUAGUAUUCUCCUCCCCUUCUCCAACUCUAAAUUUUGGUACCUUUUCUCCCUGAUUGGAUCAUUGUUUGAAUUAUCAUUAUUGGUGAUGAAGAGUUUUAUGGCCAGCUUGGAUUUCAACGAAAAGAAAUACAAGUUUUAUGGCCAGAUUUCAAGAAAGUUGACUUUUGUUCAAGAAAAUGAAAUUUAGAUUGAGAAUUGUAAUGUUGCUUAUCGAGGUGAGUAGUUUUCCCUUCUAUUCCAAAAUACAAUUUUGUUGUUUGAGGAGAUAAAUUUGUUUAAUUUCUUGUGUUUGUAAGUUUGUAAGUUUUAUUGUUUAUGGUCAUGCCUUUUGCAUAAUUUAUUAUGUUUCUAAUUAGUUUUUUCUUCACAUUGAUAACAUUUAGAUACUCGAAUUGAUAAGUUAUUCAUACAUGCUUUUAGAGUGUUACUUGUUGUAGAAUAUAUCAACCGUUAGGUACCUUUAUGGAAGCAUAAGCUUGUAAGUUGUAAUCAAGAAGAGAUGGUAUCAACCAAGGCAACCUAUAAGUUUUAGCCUAUGUUUUUGCUUCCUUUUGAUUUUUGAGUGGCAUGUUAUUUGAAAUUUAGGUGUAAAAUAUGUAGGUGUAUUAUUUAGGAUAUAAAACCUUCCAUGGAGCUUCACAUUUCUAAAAAUAUAUGUUUUUAGCUAUUGGAUGGGAUAUGAUUGAUGUAAUAAUGAUCGAGCUCUUUAAUUGGACUCAUGCAUAAACACUUCAAUCUUUAUUGCCAUUGCUAGUUUAUUCAUUUGUUCGUUUACUUUUAUAUCGGUAUGGAAUUAGACACUUUAGGUGUUAUCAUGGAUUUUGCUUCUUGUUUCUCUUUUCUUCUCCUUUUAGAUUGCAACUAUUUCGACGGGAAUUCUCGUUCAAGAAAGCUAGGGAGGUUACAAGACUUGGCAAGGCAUAGGUAUUGUGGAUUCUUCUUUUGCUUUGGUUUUUUGUUUUGUUUUUUGUUGGUGGUGGAUUUGUUAGCUUUUUUUUUCUUAUGGUGUGUCCUAAUGUGUUAUAGAACAAAUAAGAAGAGAUUGUUUCUUGGUGGCCUUGUUGGUGGAGUAAUGGUUUUUGUGAUUACUGAUUCAGUUUUGAUUGAGUUUUACUUGAUGAAAGAGGGGUAGGCCUUAAUUGGUUUUCUUUUGUCUUCGUUGUAUGAAUUUUACUUGGUGUGUCUACCUAUUUUUUUAAACAUUUAAGAUAAAUUUAAAUACAACUAGUUUGAAUGCAACUGCCUACUUCUUUUUUUAGCAUGUUCCGGUAGUUUAUCAUGAAAAAAAUGAACAAAAAACCACAUCUGAUAAAUAAGAUGGUCGUAUGCUCAUAAAUUUGUUAUGAACCAUUUAUGCUAUUAUAAUAUGCUAAUCACUUUGUGUUGCAAGUGUUGUGAACCUACUCUAGAAUGCAUUUUCUCAAAUUUCUCCAUUAUACUAAGCGAAGAAUCAAUCGAAGAACCUGAUGUCAUAAAUAUAGGAAUCAUUAGCAGGUAGGAUAUGUUCAAGACAUAUGGUGGAAACAGUGAUGAAGAUGAUGAAGAGUUUGUUGAUUUGGAUGAUUAACUCUAUUAUGAUUUGUUGGGAUAGUAAUGGCACUUCAAAGUAGACAACCAGCUCCCUCAAUCUUUAGUUUAUUUUUUGUAUUUAUUGAAAGUUAAGUUGUAUAUACAAAAGCAAUUAAGAUUUUAUUUUGGGAUUCUUUUUUUAUGCUUAAGCAGCCAACUACUGCUUUGUAAGUAUAAAAUUUGUUAUUCUCUUUGAGAGCUAACUAAUAUUUGUACUUUGUGAACAAGACUUAGAUUUAAA